AAUUCGAUGAUACGCGAGGAACCUUACCUUGGGCUUAAAUGUAGAGUGCAUUGGAGGGAAACUUUCAUUUUCUUCGGAACUCUUUUACAAGGUGCUGCAUGGUUGUCGUCAGCUCGUGCCGUGAGGUGUCGGGUUAAGUCCCAUAACGAGCGCAACCCUUAUCGUUAGUUGCCAGCGGGUAAAGCCGGGGACUCUAGCGAAACUGCCGGUGUAAACCGAGAGGAAGGUGGGGAUGACGUCAAGUCCUCAUGGCCCUUAUGGGUAGGGCUUCACACGUCAUACAAUGGUCGGUACAGAGGGUUGCCAAGCCGCGAGGUGGAGCCAAUCCCUUAAAGCCGAUCGUAGUCCGGAUCGUAGUCUGCAACUCGACUACGUGAAGUCGGAAUCGCUAGUAAUCGCAGAUCAGCAUGCUGCGGUGAAUACGUUCCCGGGUCUU
rnacentral:rRNA from 1 species